ACUUUGCUGACGAGUGUCAAACAGCACGAAACCUGAGUCCAGAAU
rnacentral:hammerhead_ribozyme from 1 species